AGCCGCACGGGCCGUGGGAUCUGCCGGGCCGCGGCGCUCCGGGAGCGGUGUUGUUUCUAAUUAAUGCCUGUGUGGUAGCCUAAUCUGUGUUACCGGGCUCUCUGGAGUAUUGUCGCAACAAAGAUGAUACAGAAGCUGGAUUCAGUAUGGCUGAAUAAAUCUAGCCAUGGAGCUACACAUUGACUCUGGAGUUCACACUGCAUUGCAAAGCAUGAUUGCCUGUGACUGUGGAAGUUGAUUUGAAGUCCUAGGAAUUUAAUUUCUUGAUCAUCAACCUGUGUAGUCCUAAACCUUCAGUCUGAAGAAUGCACCAGAAGUACUUGUUUUGUUAUGUAGAGCUUUGAUUUUCUGUAUAGAAUAAUUUUGUGAAAAAGCUGGACAGAAUGACACGGUGUUAAGGGAUUGGAAGGGACCUUAAACAUCACCUGGUCCCAACCCCCUGCCAUGGACAGGACACCUUCCCCUAUACCAGGUUGCUCAAGGCCUUGUACAGCCUGGCCUUGGGCACUUCCAGGGAUGGGGACCUGUAACCUGUUCCAGUGUCUCACCAGCCUCACAGUGAAAAAGUUCUUCCUAAUUUCCAGUCCAUCUGUAACCAUCCUGUUCUAGCACUGCAGCCCUUGACAGAACAUCCUUCCUGCAGCCCCUUCAGACCCUGGAAGGUGCUGUGAGGUCUCCACACAGAAGAACCUUCUCUUGUCCAGGCUGAACAGCCCCAGCUUUCUCAGCUUGUCUUCACAGGGGGCAGGCCCCAGCCCUCUGGACGUGCUGCAACACUUCCAUGUCCUUGUGCUGGGAACACCAGAACUGGAUGCAGCACUGCCAGAGGGGUGUCACAAGAGCAGAGCAGUGGGGCACAAUCAUCUCCUAUGACCUUCUGGCCACGCUCCUCUGGAUGCAGCUCAGGAUUCCCUUGGCUUUCUGGGCUCUGAGCACUCACUAGUGGCUCAUGCUGAAUUUUUGAUCAACCAUCAGCCCCAAGACAGAAUAAUUUCUGAAGAUGCUGAUGUUCUCAGGGACAACCUGCUUGCCUUUCCAUGACUUGCAAAUGCUGAUUCUCUUAAAGAUUUGAUGACUCUUUUAAUGUGGGCAAAAGCAAGCAAACAAACCCCCUGAUGGUGUAGAACAGUGCAGUUAGCAGAACAGCCUUGUAAUGUUGUGGGACUUCUCAUUGUCUCCUUACUUGAAAAAUCUAAAUAUUGGUGUACAAGGCUGUAGUCAACUAUGUUUGUUGAAUAAAUUUAGUUGUCACAAGCUGCAUUUCAUCCUUUGCAGGGCAAUACUGAAAGCAGUAAUUUUAGGACCAAAGCUCACUGGCUCACUCUGCUUUUAGUAGGGCAGCUGCAAUUAAAAUAUAGGAAGCUUUUAAUAAGAAUUAAUUUGGGAGGGGACACACACACUGUACAUUCCCAUUUAUUGGUGAGAUUUAUGCUUCUGCAUUCUAUGCAAAUAAUAGGUCUUAGCUUUUCUGUUUACAUGCUGUUAAUCCAGCCUGUAGCUUAAAACUCUUCUUUUUAAUAGCUCCAUUAAGAAAUUAAGGGAGGACUUAUUUGGGCAAGGAAAUCCAAAAUUAAUCUUGCAUGGGU